UUGCAUGCACCAGGGCUUGCCUGGAAUAAACACUACGUUAGUAUUUGUUAGGUGGCGACCACUUGAUGACCAUCCUUUUGUCUUGGCAUUUGUUCAGGCAGGUUCGUCCAUCAGCAUCACCAUGCAAGAGUAGCCCGCGCUUGGGGUCGACUUGGCUCGUCUUCCGCAUCGCUCGAUCAACUAGCGUACCUAAUGAAAUGCAUUAUACAUAUGAAUGCGUAUCAAGACAGGCAUCGCAAGAUAAUAUUACGAUUAAGUCAUCACAAUAAUCACGACAACCUAAUACUUAUGUAUGUACCAACAUAACCAGCCAUAAUAUAAAUAGAACGCGAGCAUUCUACAAAAUACUAACUUCAUCCUUUUACCGUAUGAACAGAACAUUUUACCAAUAUUUAAGACCACUACUCAUCACAUACGUGGAACCUAUUUAAUUAUGUUUAACAUAUACACCUAUCAAGGCACUACUCACCUGACUUACCCAUCGACGAUCAUUAUACAAUGGGAUUAAAACACCAUUGCACACAAGCACAUCACAACAUCAAAUCAAUCCAAUUACACUAGACAUACGUUUCCACGUUGUGAAUUAAAAUGCAUAAGAUAUAGGUCGAUGGUGCUAACCACAAUCGGCCAUAACCAUACUUAAAACUAACUUAACUAGUUUAAAUAUACUCGACAAGUAUACCUACCGAAGCUCUAUUCCCAUAACCUACAUCUCAAACUGGCGAUCCGCUACCCGACUUUGACCAAAUCGCUGCAAGCGACUCGGGUAUCCUAAUAAAUAUUAUAUCUACUACCAGCAUACACAUAUGCUACGAGCAAAAGGACCGACGUAACUAAUAUAUCAAAAUCAUCAAUCAAACACUAUCUGAAACAAUAAAUCGGCUUAUCGUUACCUAAACCCGAUCUGAAUUCGUGAGAUUCACGACGAUGUCCGGUGGGAGCAUUUCAAAUGAACGUGUCUAUUGACAGAAUUGACGGUCGACGAUGCCGACCACCAGAGCCGGCCACAACGAGCAUGACAUCCGGGACACGGCAGGGGACGACGACGUUGUGGUGAAUAGGAAAUCGACGACUGGCACAAAAGGCACGACACAGGGCAUAAUGAAACGACGGCGUGCCCAGAUCUCGCGUCGCCCGACCAUGCCCGCGAUCAAUACCCACCACGCCACCGCUGCGCACAGCGAUGCGAUGACCAAGGCCGUGGCGAGUAAGGAGCUGAGUGGGUUUGACGGCCUUGGAUGAGCGCAGAUCGGCACAACAGAGACGAAGAUCGAGCGCGCAGCAGGAAGGGCGCGCCGGCGAGCAGAGAAACGCGCAGGCGAGCUGAGGCCAAGCGCCGACCAUGGGAGUUUCGAGCGCGAGCUAGGGCGAGCAAGGAGAUGGAUGCCGAGCUCGCACGCGCAAGGAGCAGGAAAAGGCCACGCGGCUAACAGACGAGCCAGGGGCACGACGCAGGAAGAAGCGCGAGCCUAGGCAAAAUCCGAGCAAAGAGCUUCGCGGUUGGGGAAGGGAGAGAGAGGGCGACGCGAGUCCGAGCAGAGGCCAAGGACGCGCGGAGGGAGAUGGAUGAGCGGCUGCCUUCGGACAUGGGGGCGAGCAGGGCGCGGCAAAAAGCUCCAAACUGGCGCGGCCAUGGUAGAGCUGUGCACGUGUACCUGGAAGGGCACGCGACCACCAGGGCUUCAACCGUGGCAGGGAGGAGCUAGGAGACUGGGCACACGGCUGACGAGCUAGAGGCAUGCGAGCUAGGAGCUCCGGCCGGGCAGGAGCCAGGGAGCAGGCGUGCCAUGGCUGGAACCCAGCAGAGAAAAGCGCGCAGGGGAGGGAGAUAGAGACGCACGGAUGGAAGGAAGGAAUCCAGGACGCGCGUAAGUGAUAGGCUACUGCUAGGCGGUGGGAUAUUUUUUUAGAGUUGAGCGGCGCAGGGAUAACGACGGCGGCUCAAAAAUCUGAGAAGUUUUUUUAUUUCCUUUCUCUUUUUUACCGAAAAAUCGCAAAUAUUUUGGUUCCCGAUUUUUAGCGAUGUACACUGGGUCGACACGCUAUAUAGCUACACAUUUCUUUCUAUGAAUUAGCGAAAUAGAAACUCAGAGGAAUAACAGCUUAGACGGUUCUAUCCAAAUCUCGGUUGGUUAAUUUUCGUGACUAUACUGGUCACGAUAUAAACGGACCGAACCAGAGUACAUCAGAUUUGAUAUUUUAUUCUACGACGGAUCCCAAUUGAAAUCGACCUGGUUAACAGUUAUUCAAUUUCGACUCUAAUUAUCUUGAUCCGAUUUAGUUUUGCAUCACUUCUAUCGUCGAGUUCCAAUUAAUUUGUUCUGGAUAAAAACCGGAGGACUGGACUAAUUUUCCAAAUUUGUAUAUGCGCGAGCAAUAAAUUUUAAAUAAUCAUCGGACACACCGAUUUUCGAAACAACUAUGUUUCGAACAUCACGAAAAUUUAUGACGAGCCCGGAUAGAUAAAAACGAUGUCGAACUCGCGACCGACGAAACAGAUGCGAUAUUAAAAUCACGAUAGGUGAAGAUGUUUAAAAUUUAGCAUCUGUUUUAUCCACUGAUAUUACGUGCUUAAAUCCAGACUCGUAGUCGAGCAGAACAUAAACACCAGGGGUGUUACAACCCGCUGUGGCAGAAGCUCCCAAGUUAUUGGGCCCACAUGCACCUGCCCUUGUCUCAAAGACCUCAGACGGCUAUGCAUGUGCACCAAAUAACUUAACAGGAUAUGUCCGAGUGCCUCAAGGACCUCGGAUAAACCACUUACAACCAGAACCGCAAGAUUAAGUAAACACAAAUCACACACCAACAUUUUGCAGCGGAAUUUCUUUAUUACAAAAAGUUACAAGUUACAGCAAAUUUACAUUAUAUUUAACGGAGUGGUUACAAAAGUGGUUCAAAGCAAUAACUUUGAACUGUUAUAAAUUAUUUAUAAGUUUGAAAUAUAUGCUAGCUUAAGUGACAAUCCUCAAUAAGAAGUAUAGAAGAAGUACUUAGAGUUAUAAGAAGGUCGUGCCCACCGGCGCUUAACACCAAUCAUAAUCAAAGUGACUCGUAACCUGCAGCAACAAUGGGUAAAACCCUAAGUACGCAAGUACUCAGCAAGACUUACCCGACUAAAGAAAAGACUCUCAAGGGUAUGCUGGUUUUAAUAGGAUUCAAGGAAAGGCUUUUAGCAAGUAUCAACAUUAAUAGUUUGCAGAAAGCUUACUAAAAUGAGUCCUUACUUUCAACAUUUUAAUACUAGGUUAAGUAUUAAUAGACCUUGUUUGCAUCUAGUCUAAUACCAUAAUCACAUUAAUCAAUACAACAUGAUUUUUGCUCAUUAUGAUUCCAUCCAUGACUUAGAUUGCAGGGCAGUGACCAAGUCUUCAUAUCCGAGAAGUAACGGUGAUCCUGAAUCGAUUGAUACCCAGUUGGGGAUCUCCAAUCACAUGACAUAUGUGGCACUUAACCCUUGCAUAUGUCAACUCGCCACCGAGGUUCUUAAGACCAGAUCAGGUUCACGCCAACCGAGAGCACAGAUACACCACUGUCCAGCCUCUUGCCAUGGAGGGUACACACUACUCUCGCCAUCUCUCUACUCCCAUUGCGUGUUAUCUGUAACACCCGGGCUUUAAGGGACAAAGCCGGGUGCAUCUCAUACAUGCGCCAAGAAGACAACAUAUAUAACAACAGAGUGUAUACAGAUAAAUGUCACAAUAAUCAGAGCAUUUAUUACAUAGCGGAAGUCUUACAAAAUAAAAGAUAAAUAUAACAGGAUCUAAAAUCCAUCCUUGGCGCUAGAAAGUCAACUGGGAGACGCCACCUAGAUCGAAUCGAACUCCUCGAUACUUGGCUCCACUUGAACCACCUGUUCUUCUCCUGUGGGGGGGUGUGAGACAGCAAGGGUGAGCUCACACAUGUUCAUCGCUCAACAAGUUGUGGGGAAUAAUGUGGCAUGAACUCACCAAAGGUGGGAGCUCAUGUGAUGUGUAAGGCUGAUCAACAAUAGGGGUUAAAGCUGAGCAUUGCUUUUAAGUAGUUGGUCAAAAUUUUAUUAGCAGUUACUAAAUGUAAGUAAAUACCAAACCUUAAAUAAAGUAAAAGAACAAAAUUAAUAAUAAACCCAUGCAAAUGCAAAUGACAAAUUGAGUUUAGGUUCCAUAAUUUAAUCAUCAGAGAGUCCUGAGCUGCUCAUGACCGUGAGCUCAGCUAGUAUACCAGUUUUACACUCUGCAGAGGUUGUACCCUUUACCCACAAGUCAUGUUUCCCAUGUCGCCAGGGUUAGCUAGGCCCUUAGACACUACCGAGGUGAAUGGCUAGGGAUCCACUACGAGGCCUUUACAAAGUUCCACUAGCUUCCGAAAACCCGCUACAGUUUAUAGGAAGCUCCAAUGUAGGGUUCUUGUCUGACCGCCAUCGCAGCAAAAUCAACCAAGGACCUCCCUACACUGACCACUCCCCUACUGCCCUUGCCCCUUUCGGGUAAGGUAGUCUUCCACUAGCUUUCCUAAUUAGUCAGCCAAGGGCGUCCCAUUAAACCCUUGUGGUGGCACGUGUUUCUCAAGUUAAGCUCCAUGUUCCAAUUAACAUUUAAUGAUCUUGACAUGAACAUAAAUAACAUAACAAAAUAACUGGAACAUGGAUAUAAUAAAAUAUUAUCCCAAAACCAUGUAAAGCAAUAGCAAAACUACCCAAGUGAUUUAGGGGUAACAAGGUAAAGGGAUAAACAAUCUAGGGUAACCUAUCGGGUCCCAUCAAAAUUAAGCCUAUGCAUGGUAAAUGAUUAUAAAGAACAUUAUUGGGUAACAAAAGUGAAUCAAGGGCACAACUUGCCUUCAAUGAGCUCCUGCUCAGCUACUUUUAUCCGCUGGUCACCAGGAUCCCCAGUCACAGGCUCUUCUACUCGCCACAAUACAAACAAGCACAAUAUAUAGAGAAAAUUAACAUCACACCAAACAUGUAAACAAAAUACAUAAUAAUAAUCUACAUAUUAAAAUAAAAUCCUAGGAAUAGAAAUCAUAAUUUUUGGAAUUAUAGAUUUUGAGAUAUGAAUUUCCAAAGGUUUUAUGUUCUUAAAAUAUGAUUAAGUGGGAAAUUAAUUUUCUUACUGUUUUCAUGUCAAAACAAAGAUUCUAAGUGAUAUAGAAUAAUGUUACCAGAUUUUAGAAACUAGAAUGAAGUAAUUUGGACUAGGGAUGAGUUUUCUAUGAAUUUUAUAAGUUCUAGCACUUAUUUAUAUAUUAAAAAUCCAUUUAAAAUUUAAUUUCUCUGAUUUUACAAUGCUCUGGACUGGGCCUCAUUUACCAGGAAAUACAGGGGCUAACCCGCAAGAUCGCCAAGACACAGCGCGCCACUGGUCUGGACCGUGGAUUAGUUUUACAAAAACAGAGGGUCUCUUUUGUAAGGUUGACGCAGUGAAGAGGUACAGAGCCAUUUCGGCCGUUGGAUUAGAUGUGAUCGCACCAGAUUAAAUCCGAACCAAAACGAACCGGUACGCAUCCAGGAUCGCUCGAUCUGAGAUUGGUGGCUACGGUUUUAUGAGAUCCAGAUCUAAUCGGAGCCGUCCAGAGAGCGAUCAACGGCCAACGCCUAUUGUUUCCCCCACGGUGGUCGGAUCUAAAACUAACGGCUCUGAUGUAAUACAACGAAAGGGAUAAGCCCAAACUAAUCUAUACCGUCCAAAGCUGGAUUUGCGGUCCCUAGGCUUUCUUCUACCUCACGAUGGCUAGGGACAGCGGAGUAGAGGCCGCGACGGUGUAUGAUUGGCAGGAUUCUCGCCAGUGCCCUAGUGUACGGAUCCGAGAUUAACUAGGUGCUACUUGAUACGCGCAGUAAGUAUAACUAGAUGGAUGGGGUUCUCACCGGAGGUUCUGGCGUUGUGGUCUGUUCGGUGUCGAAGUUCCUGCCUGGUGAGGAAUCGGCCUCGCUCGAUCUCUUCGCACACACGGUACUCUCUCUUUCUGAGUGCGACAGUGAACACCGCCUCCCUUGCUGGAUUGCAAGCGCAGCAGCGACCCCGUGGUCGGCUUUCUUCCUUGGUGCGCCAAGAACAUGAGGUAAGCGCGGCGGGUGCAAUGAUUACCUCUCCAUAUCAGUUCACGUUGGUGGCAUCUAUGGCUCGAUCUCUCUCUCUGUAUUGGCGGUAGUGUUUGGCUUCUCAGGAUGAUUAUGGCUCUAUGGGUCAGGAGCAUGCACCAGGCUCCUAAUAUACUCCGACGUAUUGACCAGGGAAUACAUAUAGCUGGCGUAACAACCAACAGCUGGAUACGGGAGGGCGGCUGGGUGAUCCGUGUUUGACGCAUGAGUCUGUUACAUCCGUAGAAUAGGAGAUUCUAUUGAAUCCAGACCCACAAGCAGCGACCUAGGAAGCUUAGAUCACGUUCGUGAGGACUUCUGAUGGCUUGCAUGCUGACCUCAUUAUGAUGAUAGGGUGACGCAGGCUCCGGCAAGGAGAUUAAAGAAUUGAUAAAAAAACUACAUGUGAUCAUGGGCUGCUAUAUGGAGUGGGCUGCGCGGUACAAGGGAGGGCUGGGCCGACUACCGUGGUUUGGUAAGUUUUUUUCUAUAUAAAUUCUCUAUUUCCAACCUUUAUAAUUAUUAUCUUAUUAUUAUCCUUAUUAUUUUAUGUAAUGCACAAACACAUAAAACUCCAACAAGAUGCACUUUCUUUUAUUUUUUGUAUCAUUUGUUUCUAACUAAUCACUCUUAAUUAUAUGUGUGAUCUUUUUAUGAUGCAGAUAGGGCACAUAAAAUAAGGAAAUCCAAUAUAGUAUUCCUGUAUACAUUUUGGGUAUUACAAAUCCUACCCCCUUACAAAGAAUCUCGUCCUCGAGAUUUAGGAAGAUCUAAGGAAAAGAUGGGGAAAAUCUAUGCGAAUCUCUUCUUCUCUCUCCCAUGUAGCUUCAUCUUCUCCGUGGUGACUCCAUUGAACUUUGCACAUCUUUAUCACUUUAUUCCUUGUAACUCGAGUCAAUGUAUCAAGAAUCUUGAUAGGAUACUCCGUGUAAGUCAAAUCACCCUAAACACUGAGCUCUUCCAUUGUUAACUGUUCCUUAGGGACACGGGGACACUUCUUUAGUUGAGACACAUGGAAUACAUUGUGCACAUCAGAUAGAUUAUCAGGUAGCUCGAGUUGAUAGGCCAUCUCUCCGACUCACCUAAAAACUCUGAAUAGUCCAAUAAAGUGAGGGGACAAUUUGCCCUUAACCUUGAAUCUCCUCAUUCCAUGAAGUGGUGACACCUUUAGACUGGCCUGGUAAUUAUUAUUAUAUGAGAACUCAGCAUAAGGUAGACUCUUGUCCCAACUACUACCAUGCUGAAGGGUACAGGCUCUCAACAUGUCUUCCAAAACUUGAUUAGUCCUUUCAGUCUGUCCAUCAGUCUGAGGAUGGUAGGCCGAACUAAAAUUCAACUUCGUAUCCAUAUUCUCAUGAAAACUCUUCCAAAAUCUGGAGGUAAACUGUGAUCCUCUAUCCGAAAUGAUCUUCUUCGGUACACCGUGUAGAGACACAAUCCGAGCCAUAUAUACUCUGCCAGCUGAGAGCCUUUAUAAGUAGUCUUUACAGGAAUAAAGUGAGCUACUUUAGUCAAUCUAUCCACAAUCACUCAUAUCGCAUCAUAUCCUUUUGAGGUGCAAGGCAAUCCAAUAAUGAAAUCCAUACCAAUCUCUUUCCACUUCCACUCGGGUGUCUUCAGUGGAUGCAGUAGUCCAGCUGGCCUCUGGUGUUCAGCCUUAACUCUUUGAGGCACAUCGCACAUAGCCACAUGUGCAGCCAUAUCUCUCUUCAAUCCAUACCACCAGUAUUUCUGCUUCAAAUCCUGAUACAUCUUAGUGCUACCAGGAUGAAUAGAAUAAUCCGAGUCAUGGGCCUCCUUUAAAAUAGUCUCACGAAGGCUAUCAAUCUCAGGGACACAUAUCUUGUCCUUGAACCAUACGGUGCCUUGCUCACCUUCCGUGAAUUCCGGACCUCGUCCUUCAGUAAUCAGAUCCUUAAUCUCUUGCGUUUUAGCACCCCCAAUUUGUCCUUUGCGGAUUUCUUGCUCCAAAAUAGGUUCCACAUCAAUAAUAACUCCUUCAGUGUGAGCAACUAUCCCCAGGUUAAGUCUCCUGAAAUCCUCAACAAUCUCAUCGGGUAGCUAGGCAACAACAGCUGAAUGACCAUGCUCCUUUCAACUCAAGGCAUCUGCAACCAAAUUCGCCUUGCCCGGGUGAUAGUGAAUUUCCAAAUCAUAAUCCUUAAUAAGCUACAUCCAACUAUGUUGCCUAAGGUUGAGAUCCUUCUGAGGUGAAUAUAUACUUCAAACUCUUAUGAUUCGUGUAUACUUGAUACUUGGUUCCCAUAAUAUAAUAUCUCCAAAUCUUAAAGCGCAUGCACAACGGUUGCCAGUUCUAAGUCAUGAGUGGGGUAGUUCAACUCGUGUUUCCACAACUAACGAGACACGUAGGCAAUCACAUGUCCUUCUUGCAUGAGCACACAUCCCAAGCCUUAGCCACAUGCAUCACAAUAAAUAUCAAAUCCCUUCUGUAGAUCUGGCAUAACCAACAUUGGUGGUGACAUCAAUCUCUUCUUUAAUUGAUCAAAGCUGUCUUGGCACUUCUCGUCCAACUUAAACUCUCUUCCCUUCUCUAGAAGUGAGGUCAUAGGCUUAUCAAUGUUAGAAAGUCCUUCAAUAAAUCUCCGAUAAUAUCCUACAAGUCCCAAGAAACUCCGGACCUCAGUAACUAUAGUGGGUAUGCUCCACGCCACUAUCUCCUUGACUUUAGCAGGAUCCACUGAUAUUCCUCCAUUAGAAAUGACAUGUCCAAGGAAUGGUACCUCACCAAUCCAAAACUCGCAUUUGCUAUACUUGGUGUAGAGUUGAUUAUCUCGUAGCUUCUGUAGCACCAAUCUCAGAUGUCCCUCAUGAUCACUAUCACUCUUGGAAUAGAUAAGAAUAUCGUCGAUGAAUACCAUGACGAAUCUAUCCAGAUCAUGAACACCUUAUUCUUCAGAUCUAUAAAAUAGGCUGGUGCAUUAGUUAAUCCAAAUGACAUAACAGCGAACUCAUAUAAACCAUAUCGGGUCAAUAAAAUCGUCUUGGAAAUAUCUGAUGGCCUAAUCUUCAUUUGGUGAUAACUCGGUCGGAGAUCAAUCUUCGAGAAUACCCUAGCAUCUCUCAUCUGAUCAAAUAAAUCCUCAAUGCAGGGUAAUGGAUACUUGUUCUUCACAGUGACAUCAUUAAGGGUCCUAUAAUCCACGCACAUCCCUUGCGAUCCAUCUUUUUUCUAUACAAAUAGAACUAGCGCUCCCCCAAGGUGAGGGACUUGGACGAAUGUAUCCAGCCUCUUGUAACUCCGUUAACAGCUUUUUAAAUCCUUUUAACUCUUCUUCAGACAUCCUGUAUGAUCGCUUGGGAGUAGGAGUAGUCCCAGGUAAGAGAUCAAUGACAAACUGAACUUCCCUAUCUUGUGGCAUCCCUGGUAACUCCUCUGGAAAGACAUCCGGAAAAUCCUUAACCACAGAAAUGUUGUCACCAAUAAACUUCCCAUCUACUAAGAGUGCCGCUAGUCUGGUGGCGGUAGUUACUGCGAUUCCAACUUCAAAUCUUUCUCCUUUAGAACUGGUGAGUUCUAUGGUUCCUUUAGCAUAGUGUAUAAACUGCCUUUGCCUUUCUUAACCAUGACAUACCAAGGAUCACGUCUAUACUGCUCUCUUCUAACAGUAUAGGGGUAACCCAUCUGGGUUAGAAACACAGGGUAAGAAAGGAAGAAUAGUAGACAAGGCGAGUAAUUACGAGGAAUGUUACUGCGGGGGAUUUAUUAGCUAAGUAGAUCAGUGUGUCACCUACUAACGCUAAUACAUUACCUUAUGGUGGUACAUGCUAAGAUGCCCGUCUAUACUAUUUCAAUCAAUCAAAGAAGCAAAUCAGGCAUUGAUCAUCAGAACAAUCAACAAACAUUUUUAAUAGAGAAAAUAGUUUUAAUUACGUCUUAGGUUCUCUAUCUCUAAAAAAGUUCAUAGUUGUAGGAUUCCAAGGUGUGAAAUCCAUCUUGUCUUAAAGUAGAAAAGAUAAGAAUGGUCAGAGUGGAACAGUAGAAGGUGAGACAUGAUCUAGAUAAGUAUAGAAAGAAUUAGAGUAAGGUAAGUAUAGAAUGAAUCAGAAUAAGAUAAGUAGGUAAGGGUUUGUCCAUUUCUAUCUAGGUUUCGUCCUACAGUCAACAUUUCCUCUGAUACCACUUCUGUAACACCCGGGCUUUAAGGGACAAAGCCGGGUGCAUCUCAUACAUGCGCCAAGAAGACAACAUAUAUAAUAACAGAGUGUAUACAGAUAAAUGUCACAAUAAUCAGAGCAUUUAUUACAUAGCAGAAGUCUUACAAAAUAAAAGAUAAAUAUAACAGGAUCUAAAAUCCAUCCUUGGCGCCAGAAAGUCAACUGGGAGACGCCACCUAGAUCGAAUCGAACUCCUCGAUACUUGGCUCCACUUGAACCACCUGUUCUUCUCCUGUGGUGGGGUGUGAGACAGCAAGGGUGAGCUCACACAUGUUCAUCGCUCAACAAGUUGUGGGGAAUAAUGUGGCAUGAACUCACCAAAGGUGGGAGCUCAUGUGAUGUGUAAGGCUGAUCAACAAUAGGGGUUAAAGCUGAGCAUUGCUUUUAAGUAGUUGGUCAAAAUUUUAUUAGCAGUUACUAAAUGUAAGUAAAUACCAAACCUUAAAUAAAGUAAAAGAACAAAAUUAAUAAUAAACCCAUGCAAAUGCAAAUGACAAAUUGAGUUUAGGUUCCAUAAUUUAGUCAUCAGAGAGUCCUGAGCUGCUCAUGACCGUGAGCUCGGCUAGUAUACCAGUUUUACACUCUGCAGAGGUUGUACCCUUUACCCACAAGUCGUGUUUCCCAUGUCGCCAGGGUUAGCUAGGCCCUUAGACACUACCGAGGUGAAUGGCUAGGGAUCCACUACGAGGCCUUUACAAAGUUCCACUAGCUUUCGAAAACCCGCUACAGUUUAUAGGAAGCUCCAAUGUAGGGUUCUUGUCUGACCGCCAUCGCAGCAAAAUCAACCAAGGACCUCCCUACACUGACCACUCCCCUACUGCCCUUGCCCCUUUCGGGUAAGGUAGUCUUCCACUAGCUUUCCUAAUUAGUCAGCCAAGGGCGUCCCAUUAAACCCUUGUGGUGGCACGUGUUUCUCAAGUUAAGCUCCAUGUUCCAAUUAACAUUUAAUGAUCUUGACAUGAACAUAAAUAACAUAACAAAAUAACUGGAAAAUGGAUAUAAUAAAAUAUUAUCCCAAAACCAUGUAAAGCAAUAGCAAAACUACCCAAGUGAUUCAGGGGUAACAAGGUAAAGGGAUAAACAAUCUAGGGUGACCUAUCGGGUCCCAUCAAAAUUAAGCCUAUGCAUGGUAAAUGAUUAUAAAGAACAUUAUUGGGUAACAAAAGUGAAUCAAGGGCACAACUUGCCUUCAAUGAGCUCCUGCUCAGCUACUUUUAUCUGCUGGUCACCAGGAUCCCCAGUCACAGGCUCUUCUACUCGCCACAAUACAAACAAGCACAAUAUAUAGAGAAAAUUAACAUCACACCAAACAUGUAAACAAAAUACAUAAUAAUAAUCUACAUAUUAAAAUAAAAUCCUAGGAAUAGAAAUCAUAAUUUUUGGAAUUAUAGGUUUUGAGAUAUGAAUUUCCAAAGGUUUUAUGUGCUUAAAAUAUGAUUAAGUGGGAAAUUAAUUUUCUUACUGUUUUCAUGUCAAAACAAAGAUUCUAAGUGAUAUAGAAUAAUGUUACAAGAUUUUAGAAACUAGAAUGAAGUAAUUUGGACUAGGGAUGAAUUUUCUAUCAAUUUUAUAAGUUCUAGCACUUAUUUAUAUAUUAAAAAUCCAUUUAAAAUUUAAUUUCUCUGAUUUUACAAUGCUCUGGACUGGGCCUCAUUUACCAGGAAAUACAAGGGCUAACCCGCAAGAUCGCCAAGACACAGCGCGCCACUGGUCUGGACCGUGGAUUAGUUUUACAAAAACAGAGGGUCUCUUUUGUAAGGUUGACGCAGCGAAGAGGUACAGAGCCAUUUCGGCCGUUGGAUUAGAUGUGAUCGCACCAGAUUAAAUCCGAACCAAAAUGAACCGGUACGCAUCCAGGAUCGCUCGAUCUGAGAUUGGCGGCUACGGUUUUAUGAGAUCCAGAUCUAAUCGGAGCCGUCCAGAGAGCGAUCAACGGCCAACGCCUAUUGUUUCCCCCACGGUGGUCGGAUCUAAAACUAACGACUCUGAUGUAAUACAACGAAAGGGAUAUGCCCAAACUAAUCUAUACCGUCCAAAGCUGGAUUUGCGGUCCCUAGGCUUUCUUCUACCUCACGAUGGCCAGGGACAGCGGAGUAGAGGCCGCAGCGGUGUAUGAUUGGCAGGAUUCUCGCCAGUGCCCUAGUGUACGGAUCCGAGAUUAACUAGGUGCUACUUGAUACGCGCAGUAAGUAUAACUAGAUGGAUGGGGUUCUCACCGAAGGUUCUGGCGUUGUGGUCUGUUCGGUGUCGAAGUUCCUGCCUGGUGAGGAAUCGGCCUCGCUCGAUCUCUUCGCACACACGGUACUCUCUCUUUCUGAGUGCGACAGUGAACACCGCCUCCCUUGCUGGAUUGCAAGCGCAGCAGCGACCCCGUGGUCGGCUUUCUUCCUUGGUGCGCCAAGAACAUGAGGUAAGCGCGGCGGCUGCAAUGAUUACCUCUCCAUAUCAGUUCACGUUGGUGGCAUCUAUGGCUCGAUCUCUCUCUCUGUAUUGGCGGUAGUGUUUGGCUUCUCAGGAUGAUUAUGGCUCUAUGGGUCAGGAGCAUGCACCAGGCUCCUAAUAUACUCCGACGUAUUGACCAGGGAAUACAUAUAGCUGGCGUAACAACCAACAGCUGGAUACGGGAGGGCGGCUAGGUGAUCCGUGUUUGACGCGCGAGUCUGUUACAGCCGUAGAAUAGGAGAUUCUGUUGAAUCCACACCCACAAGCAGCGACCCAGGAAGCUUAGAUCACGUUUCGUGAGGACUUCUGAUGGCUUGCAUGCUGACCUCAUUAUGAUGAUAGGGUGACGCAGGCUCCGGCAAGGAGAUUAAAGAAUUGAUAAAAAAACUACAUGUGAUCAUGGGUUGCUAUAUGGAGUGGGCUGCGCGGUACAAGGGAGGGCUGGGCCGACUACCGUGGUUUGGUAAGUGUUUUUCUAUAUAAAUUCUCUAUUUCCAACCUUUAUAAUUAUUAUCUUAUUAUUAUCCUUAUUAUUUUAUGUAAUGCACAAACACAUAAAACUCCAACAAGAUGCACUUUAUUUUAUUUUUUGUAUCAUUUGUUUCUAACUAAUCACUCUUAAUUAUAUGUGUGAUCUUUUUAUGAUACAGAUAGGGCACAUAAAAUAAGGAAAUCCAAUAUAGUAUUCCUGUAUACAUUUUGGGUAUUACAUUAUCUUAUUCUGGUAUUAGUUUGCCUGAGGCAAAGCUUACCCAUGAUGAGGCAUGUGACCAUUUAAAAGGUCCUCGAUCAUCAAGCCUACAUUCGCUAUAAUCCUUAAUCAACCUGGGUAGAACAUCACCUGUUCCUAACCCAAGUCUCGAUUUAAGUACUUCCAUCCUUAGGAUUGUUUUGUGUUCCUUAGGAUGAAAAGAGCAUUAUAGGGAACUUUGCAGUAAGAUCCCACCACGCUCCCAAUGAAAAUAUUCUUGCAGGUAGAAGUCAUACUUCCUCAGGAUAACCCCUAAGCUAGGCCUUAUUGCAAAAGACAACCUUUAUCCACAAGAUCUCAAUAGGGAUAAGCAUUUUUGUAAAUCAUAUUUUGAUACUUCAUCAGAAGUAUCUAUAAAGGUAUGGAUAUCAAGGUAGGCAGUGCAUCAAAGGUUUUCCAAGCAACUCCUAUAAACCUAAUGCACAUUUCGCUAGACUUAAAGUGUGUAAAAAUUAUUUUAAAACACAAGGAAGGGGUUGCAUGCACCAGGGCUUGCCUGGAAUAAACACUACAUUAGUGUUUGUUAGGUGGCGACCACUUAACGACCAUCCUUUUGUCUUGGCAUUUGUUCAGGCAGGUUCGUCCAUUAGCAUCACCAUGCAGGAGUAGCUCGCGCUUGGGGUCGACUUGGUUCGUCUUCCGCAUCGCGCGAUCAACUAGCGUACCUAAUGAAAUGCAUUAUGCAUAUGAAUGCGUAUCACAAAGGGUAUCGCAAGA
rnacentral:lncRNA from 1 species